rnacentral:rRNA from 1 species
GUAGGGUGCGAGCGUUGUCCGGAUUUAUUGGGCGUAAAGGGCUCGUAGGUGGUUGAUCGCGUCGGAAGUGUAAUCUUGGGGCUUAACCCUGAGCGUGCUUUCGAUACGGGUUGACUUGAGGAAGGUAGGGGAGAAUGGAAUUCCUGGUGGAGCGGUGGAAUGCGCAGAUAUCAGGAGGAACACCAGUGGCGAAGGCGGUUCUCUGGGCCUUUCCUGACGCUGAGGAGCGAAAGCGUGGGGAGCGAACAGGCUUAGAUACCCUGGUAGUCCACGCUGUAAACGGUGGGUACUAGGUGUGGGGUCCAUUCCACGGGUUCCGUGCCGUAGCUAACGCUUUAAGUACCCCGCCUGGGGAGUACGGCCGCAAGGCUAAA